UGCAGGUACAAAGGAAAUUCCUCCAGCUCUGAAACGGGACAUGAAUGAUUUCUUUGUUGGUCUGAUGGGAAGACGGAACAUGGAGUUUGAUACAUCAGCUACUCUAAAUAAAGGUGCUCCUGAGAAAAAAGGAUUCACUGUUCCUAUCAAGUGCAAACUGAGGGCCUGCAGGUCCAUUUAACCUUCGAAGGAAUCCGGACCAUUCCCAGAAAGCGAUGGCUGCAUCUACCAAAGUGCGCACCUUUCCAAAUCAGCUCCUAACUCUGUUCUGUACAACUGAGAAUUAAAUUGACAGUAGAUUUGCA